rnacentral:rRNA from 1 species
UACGUAGGUGGCAAGCGUUGUUCGGAAUUAUUGGGCGUAAAGGGUGAGUAGGCGGUUUGUUAAGUCGGUUGUGAAAGCCCGGGGCUCAACCCCGGAGGGUCGACCGAUACUGGCAGGCUAGAGUACAGAAGAGGUAACUGGAAUUCCCGGUGUAGUGGUAGAAAUGCGUAGAUAUCGGGAGGAACACCAGUGGCGAAGGCGACUUCCUGGCCUGUUCUUGACGCGUGAGGCGCGAAAGCUAGGGGAGCAAAC